rnacentral:rRNA from 1 species
UACGUAGGGGGCAAGCGUUGUCCGGAUUUAUUGGGUGUAAAGAGCGUGUAGGCGGUUAGGUAGGUCCGUUGUGAAAACUCGAGGCUCAACCUCGAGACGCCGAUGGAAACCAUCUGACUAGAGUCCGGAAGAGGAGAGUGGAAUUCCUGGUGUAGCGGUGAAAUGCGCAGAUAUCAGGAGGAACACCUGUGGUGUAGACGGCUUUCUGGACCAUAGCUGACGCUGAGACACGAAAGCGUGGGUAGCAAACAGG